AAUUUUUAAUCAUUUUAUUAAAAUUAAUAAAAUUACAUUUAAAUCCUUUUUCAAUUAAAUAAUUUCAAUUUUAAUAUUCAUUUAAAUAAAUUUAUUGUAAUUCAUUUAUUCUAAAUUAUUAAUUACAUCUUGAUUUGAUUUAAUUUUAUUUUAAAAAUUUUAAAUAUUAUAAAUUUAUAAAAAAUAUUUUUUUAACAAUGAUAUAUAAAUUUAUAAAUUAAGUAAAUUAAUUCGUGGAUUAUCAAUUAUUAAACAAAUUCGUCUAAAUAAAAUAAAAUACUGCCAAAUUAUUUAAGUUUCAUAUAAUAAUAUAAAUUACUAUUUUAGUAUUAAAUUAUUUAAUUUUAUAAUAGGG
rnacentral:rRNA from 1 species